CAGGGCCUACGGGGGGCAGCAGUGGGGAAUAUUGGGCAAUGGGCGCAAGCCUGACCCAGCAACGCCGCGUGAAGGAAGAAGGCUUUCGGGUUGUAAACUUCUUUUCUCAGGGACGAAGCAAGUGACGGUACCUGAGGAAUAAGCCACGGCUAGCUACGUGCCAGCAGCCGCGGUAAUACGUAGGUGGCAAGCGUUAUCCGGAUUUACUGGGUGUAAAGGGCGUGUAGGCGGGACUGCAAGUCAGAUGUGAAAACCACGGGCUCAACCUGUGGCCUGCAUUUGAAACUGUAUCUCUUGAGUACUGG
rnacentral:rRNA from 1 species